rnacentral:rRNA from 1 species
GACGAACGCUGGCGGCGUGCUUAACACAUGCAAGUCGAACGGAAAGGCCCGGCUUUUGUGGGGUGCUCGAUUGGCGAACGGGUGAGUAACACGUGAGUAACCUGCCCUUGACUUUGGGAUAACUUCAGGAAACUGGGGCUAAUACCGGAUAGGAGCUCCUGCUGCAUGGUGGGGAUUGGAAAGUUUCGGCGGUUGGGGAUGGACUCGCGGCUUAUCAGCUUGUUGGUGGGGUAGUGGCUUACAAAGGCUUUGACGGGUAGCCGACCUGAGAGGGUGGCCGGGGACCUUGGGACUACGAGAGGGACCAGACUCGAACGGGAGGCAGUGGUCGGGAACAUGGCGCAGUGGGGCGACGCGAGAUGCGAAAGCGCUGCGUGCGUGAUGACGGCCUUCUGGGUGUAAACAGAUUUGGCAUGUGACGAAGAGUGAGUGACGGUAACGAGUAAAGAAGCACCGGCUAACUACGUG